rnacentral:rRNA from 1 species
UCUUUCUUUGCUGGCGACCGGCGCACGGGUGAGUAACACGUAUCCAACCUGCCUUUACUCGGGGAUAGCCUUUCGAAAGAAAGAUUAAUACCCGAUAGCAUAAUGAUUCCGCAUGGUUUCAUUAUUAAAGGAUUCCGGUAAAGGAUGGGGAUGCGUUCCAUUAGGUUGUUGGUGAGGUAACGGCUCACCAAGCCUUCGAUGGAUAGGGGUUCUGAGAGGAAGGUCCCCCACAUUGGAACUGAGACACGGUCCAAACUCCUACGGGAGGCAGCAUG